UACGUAGGGUGCAAGCGUUAAUCGGAAUUACUGGGCGUAAAGCGUGCGCAGGCGGUUGUGUAAGUCUGUCGUGAAAUCCCCGGGCUCAACCUGGGAAUUGCGAUGGAGACUGCACGGCUAGAGUGUGUCAGAGGGGGGUAGAAUUCCAGGUGUAGCGGUGAAAUGCGUAGAGAUCUGGAGGAAUACCGAUGGCGAAGGCAGCCCCCUGGCCUGAUACUGACACUGAGGUGCGAAAGCAUGGGGAGCAAACAGGAUUAGAUACCCCGGUAGU
rnacentral:rRNA from 1 species